rnacentral:lncRNA from 1 species
GGAACUUGCACCCUCCUGUUGAAAGUCUGAACAGCAAGAGAAAGCAAGAAAUGUGAAAGGGGAAAACACUAGCUUCUACGCAGGAUAAGGAACGGUGAUGUGGGGAUCACACAAAACACUUUAUUUUCAAAGUUAAACCAAGAAGUUAGGCUGGUGCCAGUGGCAGGCACUUGUGGCG